AACGAACGCUGGCGGCAUGCCUAACACAUGCAAGUCGAACGAGAGCUCCGGGACUAGUGGCGCUUGGGUGCGUCACGCGUGGGAACCUGCACUUAGGUAUGGAAUACCUCUCCGACAGGGGUGAUAAUGCCGGAUAAUGUCUUCUGACCAAAGAUUUAUCGCAUUUGUAUGGGCGCGCGUUGGAUUAGCUAGUUGGUAGGGUAAUAGCCUAUCAAGGCGUCGAUCCAUAGCUGGUUUGAGAGGAUGAUCAGCAACACUUGGACUAAGACACGGCCCAGACUCUUACGCGAGGCGGGAGUGGGUAAUAUUGGACAAUGGGGGAAGUGCUGAUCCAGCAAGGCCGCGUAAGUGAUGAUGUUCGUAGAGAUGAAAAGCUCUUUUACCCGGGAUGAUAAUGACAGUACCGGGAGAAUAAGCUCCGGCUAACUCCGUG
rnacentral:rRNA from 1 species